rnacentral:rRNA from 1 species
GAGGGUGCGAGCGUUGUUCGGAAUUACUGGGCGUAAAGCGCGCGCAGGCGGCCUUUUAAGUCUACCCGUGAAAUGCCGGAGCUCAACUCCGUGCACGCCGGGGGAUACUGGGAGGCUGGAGACAUGUAGAGGCAAGCGGAAUUCCGGGUGUAGCGGUGGAAUGCGUAGAUAUCCGGAAGAACACCUGAGGCGAAGGCGGCUUGCUGGGCAUGAUCUGACGCUGAGGCGCGAAAGCGUGGGGAGCAAACAGGAUUAGAUACCCUGGUAGUCCACGCCGUAAACGAUGGGCACUAGACGCGGGUGGGAUCGACCCCUUCCGUGUCGCAGCUAACGCGAUAAGUGCCCCGCCUGGGGAGUACGGCCGCAAGGCUG